rnacentral:misc_RNA from 1 species
GUACUGCUUCCUCUUUGCCUCACUCACCCCUUCUUUUAAUUAGUAGCUGGUAAUACUUACCUAAUUAUUGCGAUCAUCACAUCAUACACUUCAAAUACAUGUGAAAUAAGUACUAAUUCUUCUAUUUAAUGUACCUUUGGAACAUUUGAUCUCUAUAACUUUAGCUUCAAAUUAAGUUCCAUCUCAUUUUAGCUUUUCCUUUCUUGUUUCUGUCUUGAUCUUGAUGGAAUGGAAUUGAACUCUCAACCCUGUGCCAGUC